UUAUUGGAGAGUUUGAUCCUGGCUCAGGAUGAACGCUGGCGGCGUGCCUAAUACAUGCAAGUCGAGCGAAUGGAUUAAGAGCUUGCUCUUAUGAAGUUAGCGGCGGACGG
rnacentral:rRNA from 1 species